GACCAUGACUCAGCAGCCACUUCGAGGUGUGGCCAGCCUACAUUUCAACCAAGACCAAAGCUGCUUUUGCUGUGCCAUGGAGACAGGCAUCCGUAUCUAUAAUGUGGAGCCACUGAUGGAAAAGGGGCAUCUGGACCACGAGUAGAUAGGCAGCGUGGGCCUGGUAGAGAUGCUGUGCACCGAUCCAACCUGCUGGCCCCCGUGGGCAGUGGCAGCAGUCCCAACUUCUCAGAGAUCUCAGUGCUGAUCUGGGACGAUUCCCGAUUCCCGAGAAGGCAAGGACUCCAAGGACAAACUGGUGCUGGAGUUCACCUUUCCCAAGUCAGUGCUGGCUGUGCGCAUGCGCCAUGACAAGAUUGUGUCCUGCUGAGGAAUUGCAUCAAUGUGUACUCCUUCCCGGACAAUCCUCGAAAAGCUGUUUGAGUUUGACACUCGGGACAACCCCAAGGGGCUGUGUGACCUCUGCCCAAGCCUGGAGAACAACCACUUGUGUUUCCUGGGCACAAGUGUGGAAGCACUUCAUCCGUUCCAUUCGCCAUUAGUGCACAUCAGAGUGAUGUAGCCUGUGUGUCCCCGAACCAGCCAGGCACUGUGGUGGUCUCGUCCUCCCAGGAGGGUAUCCUUAUUCGUCUUUUUGACACCUAUUCCAAAGAGAAACUGGUGGAGCUUCGAAGAGGCACUGACCCUGCCAGGGACUGCUUUAACUUCAGCCACGACUCCUUCUUCUCUGCUUCCCGUGACAAGGGCCCUGUCCAUAUCUUCACCGCUUUGUGUUGGCUCAUGUGGGCAAGGUUGCGUCUCUGGUUGGGCUGUACGUGGAUUCUCAGUGGGGCCUGGCCAGCUUUACUGUGCCUGUUGAGUGAAAAUGCGUCUGCACCUUUGGUCCAAACACUUCCAAGAAUGUCAACUCGGUGACUGCUAUCUGCAUAGACGGGACCUUCCACAAAUGCAUCUUCACUCCUGGUGGAAACUGCAACAGAGAGGCCUUUGACGUGUACCUUGACAUCUGUCACAACGAUGACUUUGAAGAGCCCUGGCAGCUACACUAG